rnacentral:ncRNA from 1 species
UCUUGGUGUGGAGGCGUCGAUCCGUGGGCCUGAAAUGGUUGCGGUCCCUCAAAGAGGGGCACGCCCGCGGGGAGCCAGUCGCGAAACCGGCCACAAGG